GAUGAACGCUGGCGGCGUGCCUAAUACAUGCAAGUCGAGCGAACAGACGAGGAGCUUGCUCCUCUGACGUUAGCGGCGGACGGGUGAGUAACACGUGGAUAACCUACCUAUAAGACUGGGAUAACUUCGGGAAACCGGAGCUAAUACCGGAUAACAUGUUGAACCGCAUGGUUCAACAGUGAAAGACGGUCUUGCUGUCACUUAUAGAUGGAUCCGCGCCGCAUUAGCUAGUUGGUAAGGUAACGGCUUACCAAGGCAACGAUGCGUAGCCGACCUGAGAGAGUGAUCGGCCACACUGGAACUGAGACACGGUCCAGACUCCUACGGGAGGCAGCAGUAGGGAAUCUUCCGCAAUGGGCGAAAGCCUGACGGAGCAACGCCGCGUGAGUGAAGACGGUCUUCGGAUCGUAAAACUCUGUUAUUAGGGAAGAACAAAUGUGUAAGUAACUAUGCACGGCUUGACGGUACCUAAUCAGAAAGCCACGGCUAACUACGUG
rnacentral:rRNA from 1 species